UUAGUCUAUGAUGGCGAUAAAUAUACUUUGAGUAGUUAAAUACCAUGAAACCAACUUCAAGCUGAGGCUUU
rfam:Beta vulgaris subsp. vulgaris Bvchr5.sca022.con0085.1, whole genome shotgun sequence.